rnacentral:lncRNA from 1 species
UCUCUUUCUUGCCAGCUGGUGCUGCGUCCCCACAACAACCAGUGUCACGGAGCCAGCUGGCCGCACGCUGCUACUUCGAGGUGGUUCCUACAGCUGUCGUGGACAUACCUUGCGCGGGUUGUGAUGGGUUCCCAGGUCUACCCGACGCCGCGUGGGCAGAAAGACACGUUGUGCAACGCAAUGGUAGUGACGGCUGACUCACUGGAUCACGCUCUCAUGGACGCCAGGAGAACAUGGACACGGUAAUUCAAUUUACGUUGCUGCACGCCUCACAGGACUCACGCAUGCUGGACUUCGUCAGACACGGCCUCCCGCCUGACAACUUCAAACUGACACAGUGACCACAUCAGCAGCGACAUGAUGCGUGGACAUUGCCAGUAUUCGAAUUACCACACCUUUGACGUAAUGUUAACAUAUGGACAUCGAGGAGUGGCGGUAGAUUGGUUUGCUUCGAGCUCAGUCAAUUUGAUCUUAGGAAACUUGAUAAAUCCUUCUAAUUUGUUGUUCCUGGCUGCAGUAUUUCGAUGUUUGUUACGUUAAUUCAUCGAG